rnacentral:snRNA from 1 species
GUGCUCACCUCGGCAGCACAUGUACUACAAUUGGAAUGAUACAGAGAAGAUUAGCACAGCCACUGGGCAAGGAUGACACACAAAUUCAUGAAGCGUUCCAUAUUUUU